CUGAGUUAGGGUCCUCGUGGCCCGAACCUCCAACCCUUUGUUUACAUCACUUUGUUGCUUUGGCAGGCCCGUCUUUCGGGACCGCUGGAGGGGUUCAGUCACCUCUGGCCAGUGCUUGCCAAUAGCCUAUUCAAAAUUAUUUUUUAACCAUGAAGUCUGAAAAUUAAUUAUAAUAUAAUUA
rnacentral:misc_RNA from 1 species